AAACUAAACUAUUGAAAUAUAAACACAAUAACAUCAAGAAGGGGCUUUUUCCAGAGUGAGGCUGGUGCAUUGCACUGCGCAUCGCAAUCACCUCUACGAUUACAACUAACGACGGUAACAUGACGGUAUAAUUUCUCGUUGCAGAAGCCUGUGUACGCGCAUCUUUCAU